UCUCAUAACUUAUUCCAAUAAUGUCUUGUUCCAAACCGAAAAAAACGGUCUACCUCAUUCGCCACGGACAGAGUUUGCAUAACGUUUAUGAGGUGGAGGCUACUGCGGCAUCUUACAAGGAUCCAAAUAUUUUUGAUUCAGAUUUGAGCAGUUUAGGCGUUGAACAGGCUACUGCUUUAGCUGAAAUUACAGCUCCUUUUAUUGAUCAAGUUGAAUUGGUUGUAGUUUCACCUCUUACCAGAUCUAUCCAGACUUGCUUAAAGGCAGGAUUUUUCUCAAAAAAGAAACCUAUUUUGGUUUCUCCGAUGUGUAGAGAACAAGUAACAAAUGGCUGCGAUUUAGGACUGCUGAAGUCAGAUCUUGUCAAUAAAUUUCCAGAAUUAAACUUUGAUCUCAUCGACAAGGAAAUGUGGUGGUAUAUCCCUCCGGAGCUCAAGGCGGAUAUAAGGUCAGACAACUAUACCGAAAUGUGGAAAAAACAUCCUUAUAUCGAACCAGAGGAUUAUCUGUUUGAACGAGUUGAAAUGUUCCGUCAGUGGCUCCGUGAUCGUCCAGAGCAGCUGAUCGUCGUUGUCGGGCAUUCUAAUUUUUUCAGGCGAUUUCUAGGCAUGGUCGACAUUCUUCAAAACUGCGAAGUCUAUAAGACUACUGUCUAGCCGUAUCAAAGCUGUUCUUCGGAAUGAUCUUCAAAAUUUUUUCUCUGCAUAGGCGGUAUUUUUCUUGGCUGAAUACGCGCAAAUUGUGAUUUUUGAUGUUCUUUUCAUCAUGCCUCAGCUUCUCGAAGCUUGCAAUACUUUCUCUUUUUUAAAUGUAAACACCAUAAACGAAUUAAUUUUCUUUUUUUAUUUGUUACAUCUCUUUACUACUUUGUUUGCUUUUGGCCCAGAUUCAGGGUAUUUGAUGCCGAAUGAGUCUACAAAACGCAAUAGACACAGAAUCCAAAAACGCUUUUGAAACCCCUAGUGUUUAUAAAAAAUAUUUGUAUGGCGCUCUCUCAGGAAUGGUCGAGGUAACCACUACCCAUUGGAUCGAUGUGCUCAAAACCCACAUACAGACAGAAAAAGCGGCCAACAUUAACAUACGCAUCUCAGAUACGGUAAGAAAAAUUUGGCAUCAAGAAGGGUUCAAAGGGUUCUAUCGUGGUUACAUUUCAAGAAUGGUGGGUAUCGGGCCUAUGAGAGCCUCUCUUUGGGGUACAAUGGACCAUAUGAAUGAUACAUUGGUUCAUACUUCACUUGAUGAAGCUAGUCGCCUUCUUACUUCUGGUGCUAUUGGUGGCAUUGUUCAGAGCAUAUGCGAUAUUCCUGUUGAAGUCACCAAAACACAACUUAUCACAAGCAAAUCUAUAAAAUUAAAGCAAGCAAUACUUGAAGCUAUGAAAUUUCGCGGUGCCGGCGCUACGCUUUCGCGUAAUUCUAUAUUUGCUAUGGUCAUGAAUUGUGGCAUUAACUACCAGCACUCACCAGCGACUCCAAAAAGUGAAACAAUAACUCGCGCGGCCGUAUUCGCCCUCUUCGCAACUUUUAUUACUCAACCUUUGGAUUAUGUCAAAACGCUACAACAAAAAGCCGGGAAACUAUCCGAUAUCAACUUCGUCAAGUUGUUAGUACAGACAGGCCGCCAGAAUUUUUAUAUGCUCUGGACUGGUCUUCUUAGCCGUACGAUUUUGUCUAUUUCAACAAUGAGCGUGGGCGCAACAACUUUCAAACAGCUACAACACUCUGACUACAGGUAAAAAAUUUUAAUUUGUUCGGACGUCAUAGUAUGUUUGCUUUGUGAAAACCUGUUCGGCAAUCAGGAGAAAAAGUAAUCAACUUUUUCUAUGACGACAAUGAAAAUUGUUAUGUACACAUAAGUCCAAAGCAUACAUGGGCACAUGGGCUAUCUCAAUUGUAGUAAACUCAGAGGGUCUGUUCUAUAAGGCGCCAUUAAAUGUUCAAACUUAUAGAUAGACUGUCUAGCUAACUAUAAGUCCAUCGAAUCAUACCGAAUUUCGGAAAUAUGCCGACACUACUCUAGAUAAUGUUGUAUAUUUUACGAUAUAAUUUGUAUCUAGCGCAAAUAACGGCAAAUGUACCAAUUUUUUUGACGUUUUUUUGGGUAUUGUCAUUGCCCUUGCUGCUCUAACACAUAUGGUAAACAAACAAGCAGUGUGUCUAUUUACCAAGUGCAAGUAAUGGCGUAGCUCAUUUCAUCGUAUAAAGUCCUCGUAAACACUUAUUACUGAUUUUCAAAGAAAUAAAAUCGCAUUCUAUUUUUCGCCUAGAUUUUUUUCAUUCUUGUUCUACGUGCUAGUACUUCACGUUGAAUUGGGCACGUUUGCUUGACUGAUACUUAGCAAUUAGAGAGCAGUGAUUUUUUGUGAGAAAGCAUGGGUGUGUGUACUAGUCGUAUUUCGGAAGACACCGAUGCGACCAGGCGUGACCGUGAAAUCAAUAAGACGCUCAAGUCAGAUGCACGCCGCAUGGAUAAUGAGAUUCGCUUACUGCUGCUUGGCUCUGGAGAAUCUGGAAAGUCUACUAUCGCUAAACAGAUGAAAAUCAUUCAUAUGAAUGGCUUCACUGUAGAAGAAAGAGAGAGUUACAGGUCAGUUAUCCUUCAAAACAUUUUUAUUGCACUAAAAACACUUUUAGAGCAGUCUCAAAAUUUUGAGUAUAAACUUCAUCGGCAUAAUCGCUCUUUGCGCAGUAAAUAUCUGUCCUAUGAAAGCGAUUUUUCCGUUACUGGGAUCACUCCGGAAAUGGCCAAAGAUAUUAGCUCUCUGUGGAAUGAUGAGGGUAUUCAAAAUACCUUUGCACGACGUUCUGAAUACCAGCUUUCUGACUCGGCAUCAUAUUACUUGGGUGAAAUAGAACGUAUUGGUACGCCUGACUAUGUACCAAAUGAACAGGAUGUGCUCCGAUCGCGCGCCAAAACGACUGGUAUUAUUGAAAUUCAUUUUCGCAUUGGACAAACAGAUUUUUCUUUAAUUGACGUAGGCGGUCAGCGUUCAGAAAGAAAAAAAUGGAUGAACUGUUUUCAAGGAAUUACUGCUCUCAUCUACUGUGUAUCACUUUCGGAUUAUGAUCUGAAACUUGAAGAAGAUAAUGAAACUAAUCGAAUGCAAGAGUCAUUAACGCUGUUUGGUCAAAUUUGUAAUUCUAAAUGGUUUGUUGACACAUCAAUUAUUUUAUUCUUGAACAAGUCUGAUUUAUUUCAAGAAAAAAUCAAGAAAGUGCCAUUAACUGCUUGUUUCGAAGACUGGGAUGAGAAUAAUAGAGAUUGGAAAGAGGCAGCCAAUUUUAUAGCCAAUAAGUUCAAGAGAAAAAGACAGGAAGGCAAGCCUAUAUAUAUCCAAAUUACAUGUGCAACUGAUACAAAAAAUGUUGACUUUGUUUUUAACGCUGUAAAAGACACAAUUAUUCAACAGGCUUUACAAGCUACGGGCUUCACUUUAUAAAUAGUGCAACACCUAUUAGUUAGUAAAAGAAAAUUCUUUGUAAAUCUUACUGCAGCCAGUUAGUUGUAUAUCUGUGAUAUUUUUAACUUUAACGUAAGAUCAGUCCCAUCUGUCACAUCUUCAAAAAACCAAGGAAUUCAUGUGAAUCAUUCAUUACUGGUGUUUGGUUUAUUACAUCCGUUGCCUAGUAUUAUGAUAUUAUGCCAUUUAUGCGACAAAAAGAUACCCGAUACGGAAGCCCGAAACUUUUCGUGAAUACUUAAAAGCGCAUUAUGCUAUUAGUAAUUAAUAUUUUGGUUGUACAUAUUAUGAUAGUGCUACUGCAGCAUUAUGACGCUUUGAUACGAGGGAAAAAAUAAUCUGUGCAACAUAAAAGCAAUUCUAAAGCCAGGAACUAAUGACGAUGUACUUGUCGAAUUUUUUUAAAAAAUUUUGGUAAUUUAUUGGUUUUAGCGUCGAUUUGUAGUUGAUAGACGACGCCUUAUUAUUUCAUGCCGGCAUCGGAAGUAAAUCCGAAAGCGUUUCCGCUAGCUGGAGACGAUCUUACUGUGGUCAUUUUAGAUAUUGUCAAACAGGCCAGUAACCACAAGCAGCUGAGAAGAGGGGCUAAUGAGGCUACCAAAACCCUGAAUCGCUCAAAAGCCGAUAUCAUUAUUUUGGCGGCGGAUGCUGAGCCAUUGGAAGUUUUGCUUCAUCUCCCGUUGGUUUGCGAAGACAAGAGCGUUCCGUAUGUAUUUGUUCCUAGUAAAGUGGCUCUUGGAAGAGCAUGUGGCGUUUCUAGACCAGUUAUAGCCUGCUCUAUUCUGAUUAAUCGUCAGAGCGAUUUAAAUGAGCCGAUUAACAAUUUGAAGAACGCAGUUGAAGCAUUGAUGACAUAAACUUCAGGCUGUUUAAUCUAAUAUGCAUUAAUUAUAUGAAUUCGAGUUUUGUUAGUCAGACUAAUAAAUGUAUCUACAUUCUUGUA